AAAUUCACGUGACGGCGUGCUCCCAUUUGCUAGCCAAACACGCCGACGUGUUAGAAUGACUUCAUAAAGCGUUUUAUUGGAGCAGUUGAAGCAAUUAUAUCGAAUAGCCCACCUGAGGGGGGAAUGUAAAUUGGCGCCGUUUGUUAAAGAUAAGCGGCUGUCGCCUGACUAAUUUAACGUUAUUCUGUUGUCUGCAUUGAGUGUUUGUGGCUCAAACAUGGCCCAGUCUGCAGCUGUCAUCAGUGGGCUCCAAAGGAUGGUUCUGUACGAGACGAGAGCCAGGUAUUUUUUGGUGGGGAGCAAUCAGGCUCAGACCAAACACAGAGUGCUGAAGAUUGACCGCACAGAACCCAAGGACCUGGUCAUCAUUGACGAUAAGCAUGUGUACAGCCAGCAUGAGGUGCGCGAGUUGCUAGGUCGCCUGGACUUGGGAAACCGCACAAAGAUGGUCCAAAAAGGUUCGUCAGGGCUGUCUCGGGCAGUGACGGCCGUUGGCGUCGUGGGCUUUGUACGCUUCCUCGAAGGCUACUACAUGGUGUUGAUCACCAAACGCAGAAAAAUGGCCGACAUUGGGGGCCACUCCAUUUACAAAAUCGAAGACACUAGCAUGAUCUACAUCCCCAACGACUCUGUCCGGGUGGCGCACCCCGACGAAGCCAGAUAUGUACGAAUCUUUCAAAACAUGGACCUAUCCAGUAACUUUUACUUCAGCUACAGCUACGACCUGAGCCACUCGCUGCAGCACAACCUGACGCUCCUGCAGAGGCCUUACGAGCUUUGGUCGUCGGCAGAAUCCGCCGCCGAGGACGAAGCAAACAUGCGGCGCAAACAGGACAGCUUCGACAUAUUUGAAGACGAGGGGUUGCCCACGCAACUGCUUUACGGCGUGCGUGCCGAGCCGUACUACAAGUACGUGUGGAACGGGAACUUGUUGGAGCGCGUCAAGGACAUCGUGCACCCGGACUGGCUCAUGUAUAUAAUCCACGGCUUUUGUGGCCAGUCCAAGCUGUUAAUCUACGGCCGCCCGGUGCACAUCACCCUCAUCGCCAGGCGCUCCAGCAAAUUUGCCGGAACCCGCUUCCUGAAAAGAGGAGCCAACUGCGAGGGGGACGUGGCGAAUGAAGUGGAGACGGAGCAGAUCGCCCACGACGCCUCCGUGAUGUCGUUCACGGUGGGAAGUUACUCCUCGUACGUGCAAACGCGAGGCUCGGUCCCGCUUUACUGGUCCCAGGACAUUUCCACCAUGAUGCCCAAGCCCCCAAUACGAUUGGACCAAGCGGACCCGUACGCACACGUCGCCGGCCUUCACUUCGACCAGAUGCUGCAGCGAUUCGGGUCGCCCAUUAUCAUCCUCAACUUGGUCAAGAAACGAGAAAAAAGGAAACACGAGAAGAUUUUGAGUGAGGAGCUCUAUCCUGCCGUGAUUAACCUCAACCAGUUUCUGCCAUCCCAGCACGGCAUCGAGUACAUCGCGUGGGACAUGGCCCGCUACACCAAGAGUAAGCUGUGCAACGUUCUGGACCGUCUGAGUAUGAUUGCGGAGAAUGUGGUGAAGCGCACCGGCUUUUUCGUGAACCGGUCAGACUUCUACUGUCACACACUCCACCCGGACGAAAGAUGGGGAGACUUGGGUGGAAGCAUUUCAGUCAGUGGACGAGUGCAGACCGGCGUGCUCCGGACCAACUGUGUGGACUGUCUGGACCGAACCAACACCGCCCAAUUCAUGGUGGGCAAGUGUGCCCUGGCCUAUCAACUCUACGCACUGGGAAUGAUCGACAAGCCCAAACUCCAGUUUGACACUGACUGUGUGAGGUUGUUUGAGGAGCUGUACGAGGAUCACGGCGACACGCUUUCGCUGCAGUACGGCGGCUCGCAGCUGGUGCACCGGGUCAAGACCUACCGGAAGAUUGCGCCGUGGACUCAGCACUCCAAAGACAUCAUGCAGACGCUGUCGCGCUACUACAGCAACGCUUUCUCAGACGCGGAUAGACAGGAUGCCAUCAACUUGUUUCUGCAAGUCUACCAGCCGGCCGAGUCCAGGCCUCACCUGUGGGACUUGCCGACUGACUUCUACCUGCAUCAGAAGACCACAAUGGCCCUCCCCAUGGACAGACGCUGCUACACGCUGUGGUGGUCGGAAGGAGUCCUGUCCUACCUCCCUAUCGCCUUUGAUGAAGUCCCGUGUGACGAAACGAUGAAGAAGUUGUCGGUCAAGCGAGUGAACCGCUUCGACGAGAGCAUCGACAUCUAUGCGGAGUUCUUCAGACCCUACGAGCUCACCUCGUUCGACGACACCUUCUGCAAAGCCAUGACCAACUCUGCCAGGGAGUUCAUGCCCAAAACGGUGGGAGUGGAUCCCAGCCCGUUCACGGUCCGCAAACCGGAGGAGACGGCGAAAUCGGUCCUGGGCAACAAGAGCAGCAAGGAGGAGACGCUGGUCCAGAGGAAGACGGCGGCCAGCGCGCCCCCUCCGCCCAGCGAGGAGGCCAUUUCCAGCUCAUCGGAGGACGACUCCGAGGAGGACCGCGACGACGACGCCUCCGUCUCGCAGCGCUCCACUCCGGUCAAACUGUGGGCAGAUUCCGCAGACAGCGGUCGUGCGCAAGAGGAGAUCCAGCAGCAUUCCUUCAAGGAGCCCUACGGACUCGACCUGGCCGAGUUCCCUGCUGAGCAAGACCUGCUCAUCUACAACCGGUUUGCGCACCUGGGCGAGAGCCAGCAGCGGCGAGCGGCGAGGAGGGAGCACCUCCACCUGGCGAACAUCAUCUGCUUAGAGCCGGUGUCAUGCUUCCCCGGGGACAGCGUUUACGUCACGUCGCCGCCGCAGGUGAACCGCCACAGCCGCGACGUCUUCGAGAGCCACGUGAUGGCGGCCCACGGUCAAGUGUCGGGACAACGGCCGACGAACGUGCGUCCAAGGAGGGAAAGGCGCACGCCGACCGAGCACCUCUCGCGCCCUCCGAGCCUCGUGUGCCCGGCGGCGGAGAGGAAGGAAGGGGCUGGCGGCGGCGGCGGCCUGAUCCUCGCCAUUCCCAAGCAAAGCAAAACAAAAGGAAGGAAAAGACAAGAGUGGCAAUCCGGAUAGAGCACGGUGGCGCCUUGAGGUGCGUCGGAAAAUUUCCAGGAACUCUCGGCCAGCAACUGUCGGACGCUCAGAGUGCUGUGAUCAGACGCGAGUUGUCCUGCCGCAACGCUCUCUCCUCGUCUUCUCACGCACUGAACAAGUGCCUGCGACGUGUUCCAAAAAAAGCUGGGACAGGGGCAACAAAAGACUGGGAAAGUUGAGGAAUGCUGAGAAAACACCUCUUUGGAACAUUCCAAGUGUGAACAGGUUCAUUGGAAACAGGUGCGCGUCAUGAUUGGCUAUGAAAGGGAGCAGCCCCGAAAGGCUCAGUUCUUCACAACCAAGGAUGGGGCCAUCUUCACUGCUUUGUCAACAACUGCAUGAGCAAAUAAUCCAACAGUUUAACGUUUCUCAACGUACAAUUGCGAGGAAUUGAGAGAUUUCAUCAUCUGUAGUCCUUCAUACGAUCAAAAGAUUCAGAGAACCUAGAGAAAAGGCCGAAAAGCAACAUUAAAUGCCUGUGACCUUCGACAGUUGGUCGCUACGUCUACGAAUGCAAGUUAAAACUCCACCGUGCAAAGCGAAUGCCACAUACGGUGUCAACAAUGGACAGAAACACAACCGGCCGGCUUCGCUGGACCCCGAGCUCAUCUGAGGACUGACGCAAAGUGGAAAUGUGUGCUGUGGUCUGACAAUUCCACAUUUCAAAUUGGUUUUGGAAAUCAUGGAUAUCGUGCCCUCCGGGUCAAAGAGGAAAAGGACUACCCGUGUUGUUAUCGGUGCAAAGUUCAAAAGCCAGCAUCUGUGAUGGUCGGGGGGGGGGUGUUAGUGCCCAUGGCGUGGGUAAUUUUCAUAUCUGUGUGCACCAUUAAUGCUGAAAGAUACAUACAGGUUUUGGAGCAACAAAUGCUGCCAUCCAAGCAACGUCUUUUUCAGGCACGUCCUUGCUUAUUUCAGCAAGACAACGCCAAGCCAUAUUCUGCACGUGGUUUGUUAGUAAAAGAGUGCGAGUACUAGACUGACCUGCCAGCAGUCCAGACCCGUUUCCGAUUGAAAAUGUGUGCUGGCCCAAAAUACGACAACGGCGACCACGGACUCUUGAGCAAGAAUGGGAACGAAUUCAACCUGCAAAGCUUCACCAACGUGCGUCCUCAGUUCCUAAAGACUUUCUGAGUGUUGUUAAAAGCAAAGGUGACGUAACACAGUGCUAAACGUCUCAGAAAUUGGCAGCAUAUCACAAUGGAAAUAGGAUUCAACUGUUUAAGAAGUGAAUGGCUGUUCGAUAGCGCCUACCUGAGGGCAGGAGCCGGAAGAGGUCGUGACCAGGAUGUCCAAGAGAGUUUUUGCUUCGUUUUUUGCAGUCCUCAAGCGUGAGUCGGGCAGGGUAGGGAUAAUCUUUUCGGCAGUCCUGACCGGGAUUUUGUCCCAGACUGUGAUGCGUGAGCACAGAUCCGAUUGGAUGACCGCUGUGUAGCUCUGCCUCAGCAGCUCCCGUGGCAGCUGCAGGAAGUACGACAUCCUGUGCUGGGCCGCCUUCACGAUGCACUUGAUGUUGGCCUCCGACUUCACGCCCCGAGAGAUCGUCCUUCCCAGGAACUCGAAGGGGAGGCUGGAAAGGAUGAAUGACGUUUCCAUUCAUUUCAAUGCGGGGAGAUGAUUUAGUGUCCGGCGUGCGUAUCCCUGGGUGACUAAUCAUCAAAUCCUCUCAGAGCGUGGAACAAACCCCGCCCCCCCAGCCUCUGCCUCCACCCCCUCCUCCUCCUCAUCAUCUUCCUCCUCCUCCUCCUGCCGUGACGUCACGGCCGUUUAAAGCCGUUCCUUCAGCGCGUCCGCUGGCCGCUCGUCGCUCACCU